rnacentral:lncRNA from 1 species
AAAAUGUUGUGUCAGGUCGAUCAUUUUUGAAAGGUCAGUGGAGAAGAAGAAUUUCAGACCUUGCAAUUUCAAUCGAUGUUUUGCUUUUUGAGUUAUUUCAAGCAGCAAAAAUAUGUGGUUAAACUAUGUGAAUGAAGAGCCACAUUAAAAGUGAUGGAAUCCAAACGCGAGCCCAGUAUUAGCUCUAAUUUGCAUGUAAUUAUUGAGAACACUGGAAGCAUUUUAUGCUGUUUGAUGUUUUAUUCAAUAAUGUCAGACUGUUUUUGAAACAAGGACUGCUUUUUCAUUGCAAACAACUUUCUAGUGAACAGUAUGCUCCAAUAUAAUGAGCAUGACGUGUUAACUCAUCGUAUACAGUGUAGGACCUUUCUCUGCCGGAGAGAAACCUUGCACAGCCCGACUCAUAGCGGGGGGCGGCAACUAAAAGGAUCGGCAGUGCCUUAAUGCCAAUGGAUUUAUACGAAGCUACACAUAGAGACAAAAUCACAUAUUGAAUUAGAUAUUAGUGGGGUUACCGAGUCGCUGUUUGUUUGUGUAUUACAAAGAAAACAACAGAAUAAAGAAUAAUGGAGAUCAUCCUAUUUGUUAUUAUACCUUAUUCUGGCUACCCAGAAUACUUAGCGGCAGGCUUAGUGACUCGCAGUAAAUAUAUUGAAAAAUCCACCCAAACAACACACCGGUGGAAUAAAGUCCAAACGGAUUAGGAAAAUAUUUACCCUUUUUAACAAAUCUGUAAAUCUGAAAAGACUCCUCUAAAUCUUCAUAAACAUAUUAAACAUUUUACAGUCUAUAGAAGAAAAAAAAAACCACAUAGGGCAAUAUCCUCUGUGACACCAGAAAGUGCUGUGGAUUAUUACACUCUUGGGAUAAUUAUAGAUUGAAGGUAUAUCUCCCAAUUAAGGUAUAUGCUGUCUUCUCAAGUUUUAAUAAUAUAUAAGGAAGCAGAGAGAACAGGAAUGUACUGCCAGAUAAAAUAAAAAUGUUAAUAAAACUGCAAUUACAAAGCAGAAAUCAGUUAAAACAUAUUACCAACACCAGCCUGGAAUGUAGUCUCAGAACUUCAAACCGCCAGAAUAUCCAGAGAAUCUCCAAAGGUCAAGUGAGCAAAUAUCAGUUGAAACUAUACAAAAAACAUGGAAAAUGGCCCUACGCGUUUCGUCCAAGUGCUUUGACUUCUUCAGGGUAAUUGUUCAGUAAAACCCCGGGUUAGAGAAGCCUGUAGACUGUAAUAUGUAUGUACACUAAUGUAUGUGGCUGUUUGGCCACACUCACCAUUACCCACAAUCCUUUACUGCAAACGUUUUAAUUAUCCACAUAUUUACCCGAAUGGCUGCGGCUAUUUAGAGUUUUUGUGUUAUUAUUAUGAAUUGUUUACUGGCGGUACACUAUCACACUGCCAAAAUAAAGAGUUCUGUACCUAAAAAGAACGUAACAAUGAAUUAUACCAGGGGUACCCUACGGACUGGCAGAGAAUGACUGUUGGCAAUCCCAGUAUUGUAACUUCCACUGUGCCCCACGUAGUGCCUAUGUGAACAUUACAGGUAUCGUGACCCUGCAAGCCAUAGCUGAUAAACUGGAAUUGCAGCGGGAUCACUGUAAAUAACGCAGAUCUGUGUUUUUGGACGUGUUUAAGGCAUGAGAGCGAAGUGUUUUAUAUCUCUAAUGUGUUGUUUGUCCCUACUGUUAUCAACAAUUGAAUGAAUUGGUCCAGCAUUAAACAGAUACAGUUGGAUAUUUUUUUUCAUGUUAAAAUGCUGUUUGCAAAAUAAAGUAACAAAGGGUUUUGACCAAUUAAAUUUCAGCGAUAUGUACAUAUAUACAUUUUUAUUUUGUUGUGCUUAGCGGUUUAUAAACAUAACAUAUGAACUGCUAAUUUACAUUUAAACUGCCUAAAUUCUAUAACCUUGUAUUAUAUUACUUUUUUUAAUACAUUUAGUUUUCAUUAAGUUCAAUUACAUUUUGAAACUAUAAGCAUAUUUCACUAUAUUAUUUAUCAAGACUAUAAAGUAUUGCUUUAUAAAAUCAUAAUUUUAGGCAUUUUGACAACUCUUCAAUGUAGUUACAGUUAUACAGAGUGUGGUGUCGUUAGAAAUGGCUGCUAAAAUACAUAUCUAUUGAAAAGAACCUGAUUAUAAUUGUGUUUCUGAAAAUUGGACAGCCGUCGUCUGCUGCCUCCAUUUCAAUAAAUCCGGUAUAGACAAAUUAAUCCAAAUUAUUGAAAUAUCUAGACAUUUAUAUCUAUUAUGUUGACUAUUUUUUUCUAUUUGUCUCCAUGUCCAGCACUGGCAAACUAAUCAUUGGAUUAUAGAGUUUGCCCUAUUAUAUCUUUCUAACAAUCCAUUGAGCAGAAGACAUCCUCUGUCUGUGGAGCAGGUAGCAUCACACAAGUGUAGUUUUGCACCAGGAUACAAGUAAAAAAAAACUGUUUGCUCUAUGAGGCCAGGCUCUACGGAAAUAUGUGAAAUGUCUGUUUUUCUUAUGAGAAAAGGAAAAUUUGGUGAUACUGCAAAAAAUUAAGAAAAACAUAAAGAUUAAGAGGGAUUAUCCUGAAUGUGGGAUUCUGAGCAUCGUAGAUUGAGUUAUGAUAAAGGAAAUGUGGGAAUGUAAUAGUAAACUAUAAAACAGUGCUGACGCAUUUCGCUAACAUGAUAUUACCAUCGAGAGAAGAAAUAAUGGGUUAAUUAGAGAGUUUUACUGCUCAGAAUUUUCGCAUUCACGCAGAGUAGUUUUAAGGACUAAUCUGAGCCUACCUUAACGGACACUUUUCCACCAAAGUCCCCGUGGACAAAAAAAAAAGUCAGAAUCGAUAAUAAUAUUUUUUUAAACAAAAACAAUACAUAUAAGGCAAUUUACUUGAGACCAUGAGUGGGGUCAAAUAUGUGUUUUGGCUCAUGUUUCUCCAUUUUGUGUAGGAUAUUACUUUAAUAUCUAUUGCAAAAAUAAAAAAAAUAAGACAUUCAUCAGAGUGUGCAGGUAAAUUAGUGCGACCAAUCAAGUGAUCCUGCACUAUCCAGGUGCAGAAGACAAGUUUCAGAAAUUGCAAAAUGAGUUGGUGUGUGUGAGUCAUGUUCUUUGGCAAACUAACAUGAAUGUAGAAGAAAAUAUACGGCUCCAUCCAGAUGCCAGUAUUUAAAACAAGUUAUUAUAAAUAUUGUUUUUUAUUCGCAUUUGUGCCUGAAAAACUAAAUUGUAAGCAUUGAUUUUCAAAGCAAAACAGUUAUAAAUAUUUUUGAAACAAAAAUGAAGGAAAGGAAAUUGAAUUUGGGCGUGUUUCACCCUCUGCAAUCCCAAUAAGUUAAUUAAGCCAUAUUUCUCAUUCAGAUUUUGAGAUAUGACUGAACUGUCCUUUAAACUGUUGUGUUGUAAUGUUCUUGUAUAUAUCUCUAUAUCUGUCCAUUUAUAAUCUUUAUUAUUCUGUGAUAAUCUCAAAGGAUUAUACUAUAAUUAUAACUCAAUUAAAAAACAAUAACUCAA